rnacentral:misc_RNA from 1 species
AGCGAAGCGUUGAAGGGAUUUGUAGGCUUGACACCCCUUGCAGAGAGAAACCGUCACCGGCUGAAAGCGGUUUUAAGGAAGACAAGACCGAAAUUGCACCCCAGAGCUCAUACCUUGAAUCAAGUAGAGGUUAUGCGGCUGUAGCCGUUAAAGCUGAAGUUAUAAGACAGAGUGGAACCGCGAGUCCUUCGCCUCUGAU